rnacentral:rRNA from 1 species
GACGAACGCUGGCGGCGUGCUUAACACAUGCAAGUCGAACGGAAAGGCCCUGCUUUUGUGGGGUGCUCGAGUGGCGAACGGGUGAGUAACACGUGAGUAACCUGCCCUUGACUUUGGGAUAACUUCAGGAAACUGGGGCUAAUACCGGAUAGGAGCUCCUGCUGCAUGGUGGGGGUUGGAAAGUUUCGGCGGUUGGGGAUGGACUCGCGGCUUAUCAGCUUGUUGGUGGGGUAGUGGCUUACCAAGGCUUUGACGGGUAGCCGGCCUGAGAGGGUGACCGGCCACAUUGGGACUGAGAUACGGCCCAGACUCCUACGGGAGGCAGCAGUGGGGAAUAUUGCACAAUGGGCGGAAGCCUGAUGCAGCAACGCCGCGUGCGGGAUGACGGCCUUCGGGUUGUAAACCGCUUUCGCCUGUGACGAAGCGUGAGUGACGGUAAUGGGUAAAGAAGCACCGGCUAACUACGUGCCAGCAGCCGCGGUGAUACGUAGGGUGCGAGCGUUGUCCGGAUUUAUUGGGCGUAAAGGGCUCGUAGGUGGUUGAUCGCGUCGGAAGUGUAAUCUUGGGGCUUAACCCUGAGCGUGCUUUCGAUACGGGUUGACUUGAGGAAGGUAGGGGAGAAUGGAAUUCCUGGUGGAGCGGUGGAAUGCGCAGAUAUCAGGAGGAACACCAGUGGCGAAGGCGGUUCUCUGGGCCUUUCCUGACGCUGAGGAGCGAAAGCGUGGGGAGCGAACAGGCUUAGAUACCCUGGUAGUCCACGCUGUAAACGGUGGGUACUAGGUGUGGGGUCCAUUCCACGGGUUCCGUGCCGUAGCUAACGCUUUAAGUACCCCGCCUGGGGAGUACGGCCGCACGGCUAAAACUCAAAGGAAUUGACGGGGCCCCGCACAAGCGGCGGAGCACGCGGAUUAAUUCGAUGCAACGCGUAGAACCUUACCUGGGUUUGACAUGGAUCGGGAGUGCUCAGAGAUGGGUGUGCCUCUUUUGGGGUCGGUUCACAGGUGGUGCAUGGCUGUCGUCAGCUCGUGUCGUGAGAUGUUGGGUUAAGUCCCGCAACGAGCGCAACCCUUGUUCACUGUUGCCAGCACGUUAUGGUGGGGACUCAGUGGAGACCGCCGGGGUCAACUCGGAGGAAGGUGGGGACGACGUCAAGUCAUCAUGCCCCUUAUGUCCAGGGCUUCACGCAUGCUACAAUGGCUGGUACAGAGAGUGGCGAGCCUGUGAGGGUGAGCGAAUCUCGGAAAGCCGGUCUCAGUUCGGAUUGGGGUCUGCAACUCGACCUCAUGAAGUCGGAGUCGCUAGUAAUCGCAGAUCAGCAACGCUGCGGUGAAUACGUUCCCGGG